rnacentral:rRNA from 1 species
UACGGGGGGGGCAAGCGUUGUUCGGAAUUACUGGGCGUAAAGAGCGCGCAGGCGGUCGUAUAAGUCGAAUGUGAAAGCCCCCGGCUCAACUGGGGAGGGUCAUUCGAUACUGUUCGACUCGAAGGCAGGAGAGGGAAGUGGAAUUCCGGGUGUAGUGGUGAAAUGCGUAGAUAUCCGGAGGAACACCAGUGGCGAAGGCGACUUUCUGGCCUGUUCUUGACGCUGAGGCGCGAAAGCUAGGGGAGCAAACGGG